AUGGUUCCUUAUUUCGUUAUUCGUUUACGAAUCUGAUACCAAAAAACGAAUAACGAGUCAUUUCUCGUACUUUCGAUUUAAUGCUCAGAUCAAAAAUAGGAAAUUAGGAAACGGGCCACAGACCGAUUUUGAUUUUGAUAUUUAAUUUGUUCGAUUUGUGUGAACCGGAAGUUACGGUCUUCUUCGUGUGUUGCACUUGGAAGUUUCCAAGUUUUUUUUAUAUACUGUCUAUGGACGUUUCCCGCAAUUUGGAAAACAGUUAGACGAGGCCUGGAAAACAUCAAUUAUGCAGUGAUUGUAAGUUAAUGACUCAGUAUUUCUUAAGUAAUUUCGUAUUGACACCAUGGCUGCACUGGAACCAUAUGCUGAUUUAAUUAAAGAUUUAUUUGAAACUGGCAAGACACAUGUAGAGAUUUCCACAACGCUGCAGCAGAUGGGUGUCCAGCGAUGUUCUGAAAUAAGUGUGAGAAGAUUCUGUGUUCAGCACAACCUUAAGCGAAAAAGACAUGUAUCGGACACAGAACUGGAGAGGGCUGUGGUUGGAUCAAUAUAUGAAGUAAGUUUUUUUUUUUAGGUUUUCACAUUUUAUAUCCUGCCCGUCUUUCAAAUGUUGUAGCGAAUAACUGUAUUUUUCUUAACAGACGGGCCCAUCUUAUGGCCGCAAGUUCAUGACUGGAUAUCUGUCUUUAAUGGGAGUGCAUGCAGGAGAAUGUCGAGUUGGGAAAAUCCUCAGAGAGAUUCAUCAGCCAUACCACGAAUUCCGACGUCACGCUAGUUAUAUGCUAAGAAUGAAGUAGGCCUACAGUACAUGAUGUUGCAUGCAUAUAAGAAUUUCUUUGAUGUAGAAAUGGUUCGUGAAUAUUCUGGGCUCAAAAUAUAAAACAUGUCUUCAGGGUGCUCGUAAUCUAAAUCCCAUCCCGUAUCAUGCGGAAUAUAUGGGCCAUAAAAUUCACAUGGACCAAAACGAGAAGCUUGUGAUGUUUGGAGUGACACACGUCGUGGCAGUUGAUGGCUACAGCGGCAAAAUUGUUGCCAAUGCCACCAUGCCAGUGAAAAACAACCUUGUGAUUUAUGAGGAAGUUUACAGAUCUGCAGUGGUUAACCAUGGGAUGUGGGACCAACUCAGGGUCGACCAUGGCAGGGAGUUUUACAUGUGCUUGUACAUGCAAGAGAUGCUGUCAAGACAUAGACACAACCCUAGCAGGCCACCAUACCUUCAAACAACAUCAACAAGGAAUCUUCGAGUGGAAAGGAUUUGGCCCGAGGUGAACAAUCGCGUUAACUACCCAUUGAAACAGGCCCUGGUACACCUGCUGGACCAAGAAGUCCUCAACAUGGAGGACAAUAUGACUAAAUUCUGCAUUUCAAACCUGACAUGUCAAUUAAGCCAAAUUGGACUAGGCAGAGUGGUGCAAUCGUGGAAUGCACACAGGAUCCCAGGACGUGGGAUACCCAAUGAACUUGCAGCAGGUGGCUGUCCAGCUAAAAUCUCUGAAGAGCUGCUGCCCAAUGCCUCUGUUGUGGCAAACAUGUAUGAGCAAGAGUUUGGAUCCUCGCUAACUUUUUGGAACUGACCCAUUUUCAUCUGAGGAGGAUAGAUGUCAUGCAGAACAAGACUUUGCAGAAAACUACCCUGACAUCUCUCUUCUUUUUAAUCAUGUGGUAAAUAAUGACUAUACACCUUUCCAAGAUGCCUUGUUGUACCUCAUAAAUGUCACCCAAAGAUAUGUCUGAAAACAGUAACUGAAAUGCAGUGGUGUUGUUAAGUAGCUAGGAAAACAGACUGUGUUAUGCUCUUUGACAGUCACCCGUUUACUUCCUCUGAACAAGAUGAAACUCUCCAUGAUGGUUUUGAAGGCUAACGUUUGGUUAAACUCUAAACUGAAGAAAUGAAUCAAGCUAACGAGACAAUAACUUCCGGUUCACACAAAUCGGACAAAUUAAAUAUCUAAAUCGGUCCGUGGCCCGUUAUUUCAUUUCCUAUUUUUGAUCUGAGCAUUAAAUCGAAAGUACGAAAAAUGACCCGUUAUUCGUUUUUUGGUAUCAGAUUCGUAAACGAAUAACGAAAUAACGAACCAUUUUUUCAUUUUCCGUUUUGGAAUCUCAAUUGAAUAUGAAAAGAACGAAUGAUACACGGAUUAGUUACAGUAAUCCACUUAGCUUGCCUUCACACACUGCUCGUCAUGAAAGAAUGAAUGAGAAUGUUGGAUUCGGUCACGUUCCAAAGCGUAUUUUUUUUUAUAAAUAAAAGUAUUACGCAGAACAACAUUAUUGGGAGGGACACUUUAACCCGUUUCUAAUAUUGAGCGGGACAUGUCUCCCCCGGCUCCUACGCCCUUGCCUGUUCCCAAGAUACAUUUAGUGGAGAAGUGUUCCUGGUUUGACGGGUGAGCUACAUCAAAAAUACAACGCAUACACAGAGACCUGAAACUACUUUGGCUUUCUUACUGGGCUCAAACACAUAUCCACGGAGAUCCGCAGGGCCUGUUGUAAUCUCGUGCACAAAUACAGCGAAUACAAGAUUACUUUGAACAUGAAAUUUGUCAGCUUUUGUCAUGUUUUGUAGCUCCUUAACUAAUGACCUGACACCUGGAAUCUAAUAUUAAGCUGAGAGAAGGACA
rnacentral:lncRNA from 1 species